rnacentral:rRNA from 1 species
AUUGAACGCUGGCGGCAGGCCUAACACAUGCAAGUCGAACGAGUGGCGGACUGGUGAGUAAUGUCUGGGAAACUGCCCGAGUGAGGGGGAUAACUACUGGAAACGGUAGCUAAUACCGCAUACCAUCGGAUGUGCCCAGAUGGGAUUAACUAGUAGGUGGGGUAACGGCUCACCUAGGCGCCGAUCCCUAUCUGGUCUGAGGGGAUGACCAGCCAGACUGGAACUGAGACACGGUCCAGACUCCUACGGGAGGCAGCAGUGGGGAAUAUUGCACAAUGGGCGCAAGCCUGAUGCAGCCAGGCCGCGUGUAUGAAGAAGGCCUUCGGGUUGUAAAGUAAUUUCAGCGAGGAGGCGUUACUCGCAGAAGAAGCACCGGCUAACUCCGUGCCAGCAGCCGCGGUAAUUC